CGCGCACCGAGUCGCCCCCACCCCUCCUGUUCUGCCGAACGCGCGACGACGAGGCGGCGGGAGCGGAGAAUGGCCCCCCGUGCCCCCGUGCGCGGUCGGCCCAAACACAGGCCCCCGGGAGGCCGACGUCACGAUCCGUGGUGGUUGUAACAGACACGCCCUCGCAACCGGAUCCCGUGCACGCCGAGCCGAGCCCAGGGCCACAGCGACCCCCGAGGCGGUCCACGGACGGCACCCACUCU
rnacentral:rRNA from 1 species